GACGAACGCUGGCGGCGUGCUUAACACAUGCAAGUCGAACGAGUGGCGAACGGGGGAGUACUACGUGUGUAACCUGCCCUCUUUUUGGGAUAAGCCUUUGAAACGGGGUCUAAUACCGACUUAGGGGGUUGGGGUCGCGGCCUAUCUGCUUGUUGGUGGGGUGAUGGCCUACCGAGGCGGUGCGGGGUAGCCGGCCUGAGAGGGUGACGGGCAACAUUGGAAGUGCGAUACGGCCCAGGCUCCUACGGGAGGGAGCAGUGGGGGAUAUUGCACAAUGGGCGAAAGCCCGAGGCAGCGACGCCGCGAGGGGGAUGAAGGCUUUAGGGUUGUAAACCUCGUACGCUGUCGAACCGGUAGGUGGAGAAGAAGCGCCGGCUAACUACGUGCCAGCAGCCGCGGUAAUUC
rnacentral:rRNA from 1 species